rnacentral:rRNA from 1 species
GACGGACGCUGGCGGCGUGCUUAACACAUGCAAGUCGAACGGAAAGGCCCAGCUUGCUGGGUGCUCGAGUGGCGAACGGGUGAGUAACACGUGGGUGAUCUGCCCCUAACUUCGGGAUAAGCUUGGGAAACUGGGUCUAAUACCGGAUAGGACAAUCGUUUAGUGUCGGUUGUGGAAAGUUUUUUCGGUUAGGGAUGAGCCCGCGGCCUAUCAGCUUGUUGGUGGGGUAAUGGCCUACCAAGGCGUCGACGGGUAGCCGGCCUGAGAGGGUGGACGGCCACAUUGGGACUGAGAUACGGCCCAGACUCCUACGGGAGGCAGCAGUGGGGAAUAUUGCACAAUGGGCGCAAGCCUGAUGCAGCGACGCCGCGUGGGGGAUGACGGCCUUCGGGUUGUAAACCUCUUUCGACAGGGACGAAGCUUUGGUGACGGUACCUGUAUAAGAAGCACCGGCUAACUACGUG